AGUCAACAUGCCCAAAGGACGUGGAUAACCUCGGGAAACUGAGGAUAAACCGCGAUAGGCCAAGGUUUCUGGAAUGAGCCAUGGCCGAAAUCUAUAUGGCCUUUGGAUUGGACUGCGGCCGAUCAGGCUGUUGGUGAGGUAAUGGCCCACCAAACCUGUAACCGGUACGGGCUUUGAGAGAAGGAGCCCGGAGAUGGGCACUGAGACAAGGGCCCAGGCCCUAUGGGGCGCAGCAGGCGCGAAACCUCUGCAAUAGGCGAAAGCCUGACAGGGUUACUCUGAGUGAUUCCCGCUAAGGGGAUCUUUUGGCACCUCUAAAAAUGGUGCAGAAUAAGGGGUGGGCAAGUCUGGUGUCAGCCGCCGCGGUAAUACCAGCACCCCGAGUGGUCGGGACGAUUAUUGGGCCUAAAGCAUCCGUAGCCGGUCAUGCAAGUCCUCCGUUAAAUCCACCUGCUUAACAGAUGGGCUGCGGAGGAUACUACAAGGCUAGGAGGCGGAAGAGGCAAGCGGUACUCAGUGGGUAGGGGUAAAAUCCUCUGAUCCAUUGAAGACCACCAGUGGCGAAGGCGGCUUGCCAAUACGCGCUCGACGGUGAGGGAUGAAAGCUGGGGGAGCAAACCGGAUUAGAUACCCGGGUAGUCCCGGCUGUAAACGAUGCAGACUCGGUGAUGGGCCGGCUUUAUGCCGGCUC
rnacentral:rRNA from 1 species